rnacentral:rRNA from 1 species
GAUGAACGCUGGCGGCGUGCUUAACACAUGCAAGUCGAACGAUGAAGCCCAGCUUGCUGGGUGGAUUAGUGGCGAACGGGUGAGUAACACGUGAGUAACCUGCCCUUAACUCUGGGAUAAGCCUGGGAAACUGGGUCUAAUACCGGAUAGGAGCGUCCACCGCAUGGUGGGUGUUGGAAAGAUUUAUCGGUUUUGGAUGGACUCGCGGCCUAUCAGCUUGUUGGUGAGGUAAUGGCUCACCAAGGCGACGACGGGUAGCCGGCCUGAGAGGGUGACCGGCCACACCGGGACUGAGACACGGCCCAGACUCCUACGGGAGGCAGCAGUGGGGAAUAUUGCACAAUGGGCGCAAGCCAGAUGCAGCGACGCCGCGUGAGGGAUGACGGCCUUCGGGUUGUAAACCUCUUUCAGUAGGGAAGAAGCGAAAGUGACGGUACCUGCAGAAGAAGCACCGGCUAACUACGUG